GAAUCUUGGCGACAGUUGGCUCGAUCUUUAUAGUCUGCAAAUAAAACGGAGUUUAUCGUCCUUUACAGUGUUUCUACGAAUCCGAUGCAAUUGAUUCUCGAUCAGAUCAAUAAGGAGAAUCGAUCGACAUAUGUAUUUCUACCUCGAGACGUUCCCUCGGAUUUAUCGUGUCCAAUUCUCUCCCGUUGAUAACCUAACCUAAGGAGUGUCUUUUCAUAACUCACUGAAGGAUAAGAAUACGCAUUGCGUCAAAUUGGCCAGCAGGUGUAUAAAACAGUACACGAAGUCACAGGAUGCUUGACGUUCGAUGCUGUAUUUCGUCUAGGGAUAUAUACAGAAUCACGUGCUAUGGCUGUAAAGGAUUAUUUAUUCGGAUAGCGAAAACAACUUCCUCUCCGAAUACGUAGCCGGAGUGAACGAUCGGAAUGACCAAUGAGUUAUGGAGAGUUCGAUUAGUGAAUUUCUGGGUGUAAUACUUUUUCGAAUUGCGACAUCGCAUAAGAACGAUGUCAACGAACAGCGUGGAAUGUCGUGUUGUAUGAAACUACAAGGAGGCAUCCAAAUGUCCAACCGCGCAAUCUGGCAGCCAGUCGGCUGGCUAAGCGUUAAGCGGUCAACAUGGCCGGUCAGGUCGAUAGGUCGAAGCAGAUAACGAGUAUAAUGUGAUACAAAGUACUCUGAUAAGCACGCUUCCUCUUUCCCUGGGGAAAUAAAUGAGGCGUGUAAAGCCACGUAUUAACGUCCCUGGGUAAGGUCUUAAGGGCGGUGAUAGUGGCUGAAGAAAAUAAAGCAAAGCUACCGGCAAGACAGAGGGAGAAAGGAAAGGAAAAUUCUUCAACCUCUAAGGUACCCAGGUCGGAAUACUCAAAGUGCUAAGGCUGCCAAUCUACUUCCAUCAAAGAUUCGAAAUUCCAGACUAAUAGUGGGAAAGGCAAAGGUACGAAUAUUAAGGAAGAGCGAAGUGCCUGCUUUGUUGGUAAUUAGCCUAAUGCGUUUUGCAUUGUGCGUUAUCCGUUGGCUGCUGGCUGGUGGAUGGUGAAUGUUGAAUGUUAGGCGUUACGAAUUACGACAAAUUCGUGUAUCAGCCUGAUGCAUAACGGCAUUCCAUCACUGCUCAGGGAAUGAAGUCGUUGGCUGAGCUUGCAGCUCGCGGAUUACUAAUUUUCCUGUCCAUGUUUUCUGGGUUACGUUGGUGAUUGCUCGCGAAUGGCGAGGAGCGUGAUCUACCGUAUCGUGGAUCACCGAGCAGAGUAUACGAAGUAUGUAGGUAGACUGUUGGCACGACCAGGCGGAUGCUCGGAUACUGUGGAUGCUGGGACCCAAGAUUCUUGGCAGCCCCUCUCGAUGCUGUCUCCGUAAUUCCCUGGAGCGUAGACAGCAUGAGGAUCGCGGUCGUCGGAUGUUUAUAUUAGAGAUAGUGUCUCUCUGUACCCGAAUAACCAACCAGUGGCGGAUCGUCGCCAUUUUGUUAUUUAAAUUGACUCUCAAGAUAAUGACAAUUUUCUUAUCGGUACACAACGUUGUAUCUCCUUUUUCAUGGAAACUCAAGAAUAAACAAUUGAAAAUGAUGAACCUUCGAGGCUGCUGACGCCAAUGCAAUUUACUCCAAAUAGUUGAACUCAGAAGUAACAGCAGAAUGUAGUUGCGGUGCAGGCUGACGUAGAAUGUGGUGUAGGAGUAGAGUGCUUGAUUUUAUCGUGCACUGCGUAGAAAGAUAAUUAAUUGGGGUUGCGUGUAAUUGGCAUAUAAUAUUCCUAGAGUGGUUGAACAUCUUGUGGGUGUGAUCCUUACACACUGAGAAGCUCGAAUAAGUUGAAGUGUAAUAACCUUGUGAAACGAGACGAAUUCGAUCGGUGUGAAGUCAGGCACUGUCCCGUACGAUGGCGUUGCUUUAAAAGUAGAAUAACAAACGUCAAGAGUCUUGGAACAGGAAGCAAGAUCUUGCGGUCUUGAGAUGCGUCUUUGGUUCUCGCCUGCAGCAUCAGUAGCGUUACCGCAAAUCUUACUUUACUUGCUUGGAUAUUAGUUAACCGUGUCCUCCAAACUGGAUGAAUAUAUCCAGAGAGAAGUAGACUUAAGACGGUGUAGUCGUGCGACUGGUAAGAUACAUUCAAGAAUCGUCACUUUUUACAGUCUUAUCUUCCCACCUUCCUGUGUCAUGACUUUUUGAAAGAAUUACCGGAGUUCUGGUUUUUUGGUUAUUUUCGGGAUACAUUUUCUUUCCAUUUUCAUUCUCCAAAUGGCUUGCUCCCAUUCACGGAAUAUGACACAUGCGAUCCUCCGGCGCAUCCGCUCUCUCACGGUGGACUUGUCACGGACAGCUAAUCUCCCGUUUCUAGGAGGGCAUCUUGAUACUUUUACCAGAAUGAGAAUCCGUGGUGGUUCUACGGAAGAAUCGAGCGACGGGAGAGUC